GUCCUUCUCAUUUGCACACGUACACACACACACACACGCGCACACGCGCACACACGCACACACGCUCACACACAUCACACACACGCAAAGACACAUCAAGGCAACAGACGCGUGCAUCAUCGGCUGUACCUUACAGAUAUCAGCUGUUAUCCCUGUCUAGCAUCAGUCCCCAGGCGCUAUGCUAACAGUCUCCUCUACAAGCCAAUUUACAAGAAUUCCGGUCAUGUUUACAUUAGCCCUCUCCCAGUGCAUGAAAAGAGCAGGCGCGAGCCGCGGAAUAGAAAUGAGCAAAUAUGAAUAAUUCAAUCCUUCCGGCCAUUAACACGUUUCCCUCGAACAAAGUGAUAAUAGGUUAUCAUCUGUGAAAUGGAAAUUUCAUAAACCAGGCCAGGAGAAGACCGUCUCCGGUUACACCAGAGGAAAUUAAUUUCACAGCACAUCUGCUUCGCCAGAGCCCCGACCCUCUAACGCUAAGGGGAGUGCCGCAAAGCUCUGCUCCUCCAUCAAAAGCCUUACAGCCACGGAGGCCCGGAGGAUCAUCAACAAUGACAGAAUCAUCAAAAUGCCUUUUUGAGUCCUGCGGGGAGGAAGAAGUGCAGCUUCGGGCCCUAGUCACGGUGGCCUCAGAGAUAGGCCGCCCAGGAUAACAAAGCAUGCACUCAGACUGGGACAGAGGAGAUAAAACCGCGGCAGUGUCGGCAUAAAUCCGUCAUUCCCGUGUGCUUGUCCCGCGAUGCGUCAAAGAUGCCACAAGACAUUACUUAAAUGACGCCUGUAGGUGCAGCGCUUCUGACAGAGUGUCCCCUCUCUGUUCAAUUUGAAACGCAUCAAAUCCUCUCUAAUUCCACAUUUGGGGCAGAGGUAGAGUGUUUAAAUUGGUCCUGUGCUCUCAAACGUAACCGAGAGAUUUUCAACUUUGUUUUAAGACUUUUGAUUCUCUAUUAAUGUGAACUUCCCAGCUUUGAAGUAAAAUAAAAAAGAUGUUACCAUUUGCCUCUUCCUCUCUCUGUUUCUAUCUCUCUCUCUCUCUCUCUCCCUCUCUCUCUCCCCCUCUCUCUCUGUAUAUAUAUUAUACUGAAUGCCCUCUGCACAGUGGGACCAGAAGACAGCGCAUCUAAGUACAUUCAGUGCGGGUCCGUUUUCAGGAGUGGAUGUAAAAGUCCUGAGGCAAACGGCUGUGGGCCGCUGACACCAUUUCCUCCCAGAACAAAGCCCCCUCGCCCCGCAUGGACUCGGGUAGAUACAUGGAGCCCUAAUAUGGCUGGACAAGCCACCGACGGGUCAUUAAUCAAGACACUGUGACAGCCACCUCUUCCCCAAUCCAGCCUGGGCUUCAACCCCCAGACAAGCCCACUCAACUCUGUACCCACAGGAGGCAACCAGGGGGAGGCAGGGAGAACACAGCCUUAGAUAUCAGAUAUGGACGGAAUGGGCACAGGGAAGACAGAAGGCAAAAAAGUACAGAAAAGAAAAGAGAGGGCACCUUUCAGUCUGACUGGGAACAGUAGUCGUACGUCGUACCUGCUGAACUGAAUGAGCUGGAUAGAUUGGUUGACAGUUUGUUUGGGGAUUUGUGCGGUUGCAAAGCUAGUCACAUUAUUGUUGGUCUUUUUCUUCUUCAGCCGCCUUAUUUCAAUAACUAUCUCCAAAAUGUUCAAGGCAUCGACAUCAAAUGCACACCAACAUACCCCGAGUGUCCAAGUAUUACAUUAUUUAUAUAUUUUGGACUUUUUAACUUAUUAACUUUGUAAUAUUGUAUAUUAUCCUGGCAGUCAAUUGGCAGAAUGCUAAGUUGUUGAAGUCACACAUGUGUAGACUUUAACAACUUCUACCUGUAAGGAAAAUCAAACCCCACUGAUUUAGUUCGUCCCAACUGACUAUCACAUUUGUCAAAAUGCGUUCUCCCUGACUUGUGGUAGACACUUAUUUAUCUUUUUAGGUGCAGGGCUGUAUUGCUGUCCAUGCUUUCACUAUGUUGCACAACUAUGUCCCACUCACUAUAAUCGUAUUUAGGGGGGUGCAGUCAGAAUGUAAGAUUGACACAUGGUAACCCAAAACUGCCAAUAACACAUAGAUGCUAUUUGAUUCUGUAUUUACAUCUUCUCCUACGUUUUUGUGCGUUUAAGUAGAUUUUUUUUUAAUUCAAGCUUGUUUUCACUUCGUCUCAUUUACUUUUACUGAGCCAUUGCAGUCAUCUCCACUCGAGAAAACAGAACAUUUUAACAAUGUUAAACAUUCUGACACAGUUGAGCCCUUUACUUUCAAACUGUUCUAUUGAUUCUUGUUUCACCUUUUGAAUAUAAAAUCGAUUUAAAUAACACUUAUAUUAUUUUCUCACACACUUGGUAGCCUUUAAACUUUAUUCAAAACUUCCAUAAUAUGGAAUCUUCAUACACAUUAUACCUCAAAUCUUUCAG
ensembl:lncRNA